rnacentral:rRNA from 1 species
GAUGAACGCUGGCGGCGUGCCUAAUACAUGCAAGUCGAGCGAACAGACGAGGAGCUUGCUCCUCUGACGUUAGCGGCGGACGGGUGAGUAACACGUGGAUAACCUCCCUAUAAGACUGGUAUAACUUCGGGAAACCGGAGCUAAUACCGGAUAAUAUAUUGAACCGCAUGGUUCAAUAGUGAAAGACGGUUUUGCUGUCACUUAUAGAUGGAUCCGCGCCGCAUUAGCUAGUUGGUAAGGUAACGGCUUACCAAGGCAACGAUGCGUAGCCGACCUGAGAGGGUGGUAGGCCACCCUGGAACUGAGACACGGUCAAGACUCCUACGGGAGGCAGCAGUAGGGAAUCUGCCGCAAUGGGCGAAAGCUUGACGGAGCAACGCCGAGUGAGAGAUGAAGGUCUUCGGAUCGUAAAACUCUGUUAUUAGGGAAGAACAAAUGUGUAAGUAACUAUGCACGUCUUGACGGUACCUAAUCAGAAAGCCACGGCUAACUACGUG